UUGAAGAAAUAAAUAAUCAUUUGCACAAGCUUUAUGAAUGAAUAUAGGGCCUUCCAGUUCAUUUCUGCCGCAGAAACCUUCCAAGGCGUGAUGAAACUGUUACAUUGGUAGAUGAAGAGGGAGAAGAGUACCCAACAGUAUACUUGGCUAGGAAGGCCGGGCUUAGUGGUGGAUGGAGAGGAUUUUCAAUUGAUCAUGGUUUGGUAGAUGGUGAUGCAAUCGUAUUCCAACUAAUCCGACCUACAGUAUUUAAGGUGUACAUCAUAAGGGCAAAUAGUUUUAAAGAGGGUAACAAGGAUCUUUGAAAUGUCUUGCAUGUUUGAUGUCUUGCAUGUUUGAUCCUUGGAGGGCGAAUGAGCAAAUGCAGGUGAAAAGAAUGUUAGUUGCAGCAAAGUUGAUAAGAGUCUCUUCUUCUUCUUCUCUCCUUUUUUUUUAGUGUAUUUAUUAUUACUUGUUUGGAGAAAUGCCAAUCACUGAUUUAGAGGUGUAGCUUAGCUUUGGCAAUCAACAAUGAUGGGCACACAUGAUUUUUGUAGUUGCUGACCUGCCCAUGUGUAUGUAUGAACUGUUGCUAUUAAAUCUAAAUACUAAUGGUGCUCUUUGGACCGUCCAAA